rnacentral:ncRNA from 1 species
CGAAAGUCUUUCGGUUCCCGGGGGUAGUAUGGUUGCAAAGCUGAAACUUAAAGAAAAUGACGGAAGGGCACCACAAGGCGUGGAGCUUGCGGCUUAAUUAUGACUCAACACGGGAAAACUCACCCGGUCCGGACACUAUUAGGACUGACAGAUUGAAAGCUCUUUCUCGAUUUGGUGGUUGGUGGUGCAUGGCCGUUCUUAGUUGGUGGAGUGAUUUGUCUGGUUUAUUCCGAUAACGAGCGAGACUCUAGCCUGCUAAAUAGUCGACGAAUCUUCGGGUUCGUAUAACUUCUUAGAGGGAUAAGCGGUGUUUAGCCGCACGAGAUUGAGCGAUAACAGGUCUGUGAUGCCCUUAGAUGUCCGGGGCUGCACGCGUGCUACACUGGUGGAGUCAGCGGGUUUUUCCUAUGCCGAAAGGUAUCGGUAAACCGUUGAACUUCUUCCAUGUCCGGGAUAGGGUAUUGUAAUUAUUACCCUUAAACGAGGAAUGCCUAGUAAGUGUGAGUCAUCAGCUCACGUUGAUUACGUCCCUGCCCUUUGUACACACCGCCCGUCGCUAUCCGGGACUGAACUGAUUCGAGAAGAGUGGGGACUGUGGCUGCGAGGUUUUACCACUUCGCAGUUGCGGAAACCAUUUUUAUCGCAUUGGUUUGAACCGGGUAAAAGUCGUAACAAGGUAGCUGUAGGUGAACCUGCAGCUGGAUCAUCG